UAUCUCUGUAGAGUCUGCAUAUCAAUAAGCGGAGGAAAAGAAACUAACAAGGAUUCCCCUAGUAACGGCGAGUGAAGCGGGAAGAGCUCAAAUUUGAAAUCUUCAAGGUUUGACCUUGACGAAUUGUAGUUUAAAGAAGUGUUUUCGGUUAGAGGAGUAGUAAAAGUUCUUUGGAAUAGGACAUCAUAGAGGGUGAGAAUCCCGUAUUUGACUAUUUUUUCUAGCUUUGUGAUACACUUUCAAAGAGUCGGAUUGUUUGGGAAUGCAGUCCAAAAUGGGUGGUAAAUUUCAUCUAAAGCUAAAUAUUGGCGAGAGACCGAUAGCGAACAAGUACCGUGAGGGAAAGAUGAAAAGAACUUUGAAAAGAGAGUUAAACAGUACGUGAAAUUGUCAAAAGGGAAGCGUUUGACACCAGUGUUGUUUUUCCGAAAAUCAAUUAAAAAUUGAUUCAUGCCAGGUUGUAUUGACCUUAUCAGCUUGCAAUUUGGUUUUGGGUCUCUUUUUGAUGCACUUUUCGGUUAACAAGUCAACAUCAAUUUCCUUUGCUGUAAAAAGGUAAGAGGAAGGUGGCUUCAAUUUCGGUUGAAGUGUUUAUAGCCUUUUAUCUCUGCAGUCGGGGAGAUUGAGGUCUGCAGCGUAGAUCCUUCGGGGCUAGAUACAUUUAUGCUAAGUUAUAGCUUUUCAUAGACAACUUGUUGACUAUGUUUAGUCAUGUAGCUUACUCGUAAGUGCUAUUUUACCUACGCUUAGGAUGUUGAGCGCAUGUCUCUCUCU
rnacentral:rRNA from 1 species